ensembl:lncRNA
GUUCUCAUCGUCUUCUAUCAGUGUCCAGAAAUACUGAUCUGUUAUUUCACAGUUUACUGGGAAGGAACUGGAAUAAUUCUUGCCAGAAGAAUCAUAGGAUACGUUUCUAGAAGACUCUGCAUCAGCAAAGUGCAUUAUCUGUGAAGAAAUGUUUACUCUCAGGAGAGAUGCUCCACUUUCUUCACCAUCUUCAUGGCUCUUUGCUGUACUAUUUUCAGUAGCUCCAUGUCUCCAACAAGAGCACAGAAUGACAGAAUCACAGAAUGGCCUGGGUUGGAAGAGACCUCAAGGAUCAUGAAUCUCCAAACUGCCUGCCAGACAGGGCCACCAACCUCCCCAUUUACUAGACCAGGUUGCCCAGGGCCCCAUCCAACCUGGCCUUGAACACCUCCAGGGACGGAGCAUCUACAACCUCUCUGGGCAGCCCGUUCCAGCACCUCACCACUCUCCUGGUAAAGAACUUCCCCCUAACAUCCAACCUAAAUCUUCC